rnacentral:antisense_RNA from 1 species
AUCUUAUCACCAACCUACGGAUAAGGAAUCUGGCUGGGAAGGGCUGAAUGACCUGCUCAAUCAAGGUCACACAUCUAGAAAGAGGCACCUUCAGGACUUGAAUGAGAUGACUUUAAUAUCAAUGCCCGGGCUCCUCAUCACCAUGCUGUCUUGACCGUCUGCAACAAACCCUUCACUCGACAAAUGGGGAUGUUAAGGCCCAGAAAGGCAAAGAAAGUUCCCCAAGGUCACAAGGUCAAUUGGCCACAUAGUUGAGGCUGGCCAAGAGAAAAGAAUAAUUUCUUGCUGGAUUCUUAGGAGAACCAUACAGGAAUAAGGUGUGAGGGGACAGGGAGGAAGAUUAGAGCAAAACAGGGGAGUUGAAGUGAGGGAGUUAGAAGGAGAACCUGGAUACCCCAGAAAACCCCAGCUCCAAUGUAGCCCACCCUGGCAGCCCAGGUGAUGGUGAGAGACGCAACUCACUUCUUCUGCUUCUUCUCCAGCUCAUGGUUUCGACUUUGUUGGUUCUCUAGCAGGACGCGGGUGUCCUCAAGGUCACAGACCCCUGAUCUCCAUAAGUGUCCCUGACAUUUCAAGGGCACAAAUUCUCUGGACACACGGAGGGAAUAAUGCUGACAUUUUAUAGAAGCUGACCCACUGGAUAUCCUUCUCACCCAACUCCAUUAGGCUAGGGAGAGUAAGAGGCAUGGUGACAAGGUGGCAAAGAUGUCACCAUGCCA